rnacentral:lncRNA from 1 species
UGCUUUUAGGUUGGUGGUUCAGUUCUCUAUGAGCCCCCAUGGGCCCAGGUUAGUUGACUCUGUAGGUCUCCUUGACCCCUCUGGCUUCCUCAAUAGUCCACUCUUCCACAAGACUCCACCCUCCACAGCUCCACCUAGUGUUUGACUGUGGAUCUCUCUCUGUUUUUGGUCAACUACCGGGGUGGAGCCUCUCAGAGGCAAGUUAAGCUAGGCUUCUGUCUGAGAGCAUAGCAGAGUAUCAUUGUUAGUUUCAGAAGUUUCUCCCACGGGAUGACCUUUGGGUCAGUCAUUGGUUGACCAUCCACAACGGGAUUUCCUAGAAGACAGAUCUAGAGGGAUCCAAUAGGUCCAGCGUGUCCAUCAGUGUUAGCUGAUCACAUGGGUAUUGAACCAGUUGAGAUGAAGUAUGCUCCUCUUAGGAUGACUAAAAUGCUGUACCUUGCUGCAGUGCAAGUGACCUGCAUGACACCCUUCACUGUUUUAAAGGAUGGGUUUUAUUUGCUCACGCAUUUUAUCCUAAAGAAUAGUCCUGUGGCCUCGGCACUCGAAUUUUAGAUCGUCCCAUAUUUUCUUCUUAUUCUCCUCCCAUGCAGACUUGAAAAUCAGGCACCAGCAUAUCUCCCGCCUGUGUCCUCUGAGGUGUUUUCCAUAGCUUUCCAUGCACUGGACCGUUCUGUAACGGCAGUGAUUAAACAGGCUACUUUUAAAACAGUGGUCAUCUCCUGAGGCAGCCAAUAAAUGGGAGUUUGUACUUUUCUUCACCUCCACUACUUUUAAAGAUAAUUUAACUUAAAAAAAGAAAUUGACUAAGAUAUAGUUGAUUUUUUUUAUGUGGAGGGUCAGGGAGUGCUUCUACUUUUUUUAAACCUUUGAAUCAAGUUUUUGAUUUUCCCCUUUUAUGUAUUACUCUGAUGAACCAGGAAUUUUCCCUCUGCUUUUAAGACAAAUUUUAAAGUACUACACAUGUUCUGGCUACUAUUUGCACUGCUUAUAGUAAAGCUUUAGAUUUUUAAGCUUCACUGGUAGAACUUUCUACUUAAAUUAUUAAUCCAAUUUAGUUUAAAUUUUCAUAAGUUAUUAAAGUAGAUUCCAUGUGAAUAGCUGAUUUUCAGAUUUUGGUGAGUCCUAAUUCGAGACAGUGCUAAUGUGUAGCCUUUGGGUAUUAACUUUCCUUAAGUAAUGGAUAAAAUAAUUUCUCUCAUCCAAGACGAAAUGUGGAUAGCAGAUGCUUUUCCUGGGGCUUAAUUAAUUAUCUCAACAUUAGACCACCCAAGAGCUAGAAGUGAAGUUAGAGAUGACUGUGUGGAUGGAUCUCAGAACUGCAGUGCUCUCUGUAAAGCUGAACACUUUUCAUAGUGGAAACUUCCAUAAAUACUUGCUGUGGCCCAGAUGGUAUGGAUUUAUCCAGGUUAAGAAGUUCAAGCCACAGACUAAUACAUUGUCCCUUAUGUCUUCUGCUGUGUUUCACUUUUUUUUUUAAUGGUCAGUACUUUUUAAAAUCAGGUAACUGUUAGAAGCUAGCUACCAUUAAACAAAUUGUCAAGUCAGCUGUUAUCACAGGGCCUCAGGAAUAUUUUCUAAGACAAGUAAGAAAGUAAAGUAAGUAAAAGAAGCCUUUGUCAAAUAAAGACCCUAAAAGUAAAUACACACACACACACACACACACACACACACACACACACACACACACACAUGCCUGGAUGCCUGGUAUUUCUUUCUGUGAGUAUGUAUAACUCCUAAGUAGUAUUUAUAAUAUUUUAGCCUUGCCAUGCCGUUGAGUCACAAACACAUGGGCAUUCUUAGACAUGGAGAAUCUGGACCAUUGUAAUCAACCCUACUUGUUGUGUCAGAAGAAGCACAAAUAUACAAAGUGGAUGGCAAUGAAGAGGUGCUUCAUAGUGUUAACCUAAGGAUUACACAAUGAUUUUGCUCUUACCUCUUUCUUUUCCCCAAGUGUCACAUUACCUACAGUUUUCCCACUGGCUACAUGGAUGGAAGAUUUAUCGUACCUGCCUGCAAGGCUUCUGGCUAGGAAGACAGUGAUCUAAGGGAUUGUUAUUAACCCAUCAAGUCCAGCAGAACACCACAUAAGUGUUUCAGAGAAGGAGCGGGUUAAUUUCAAAUUUGGUUUAGGCAAAAACAAUUAAUACCACACAAAAGAUUAAAAGCACACACAAAGCAAGCCCAAAGUACCAGCUUUUGAGAAAGAAGAAACAAAUAACUCAAGAGUUCAAAAAAAUGUGACCAGAGUUGAAGUUGAAGCGUGAUAACCUGUAAUAGACAAACGGAGUAGCCACCAGGUUGCAUGGGUUUAUGUUGGGGAUGUGUGGGGAGGGGAGCAGCUGAGAUUUUGUAGAUUCAGUUUGUUGGUAGGUGAGGAAAGAAUGGGUGAAGCUUUCUGGGUCCCAUUCGAAGGUAUCCCUUGAAGUUAAGUGAGUGAAUGAGAGGCCAUAUUCUGUCCUUUGAGAGCAGGUUGUGGCACAGCAAGGAGAGAGGGCUACAGUUGGAAAAGAGGAAAAUGGAAAAGUCGAGAAAAGUUCUCUCCUUGGGAUAACGGUCCCAUGGGUGGCAUAGAGCUGGUUUUUAAUGUUAUGUCCUAAUGUAAAUGCCAGGGCUUUGUUCGUGAAGGAAGCCGGUUGACCAGAGACAUCAACAGCACUCAGGACUUUUACUAGGAAGAGUCUAAGACCAUACUUCAGACUAUCAUAAAAACAGGCAGCAUUUUAUCAUGACUUCAAGCCCUUUAUGCACACAACGAUUCGAAGCAUUUCUGUAUGUGAGUAUCAAAGCAUGGUGUAUUGACAAGUAAGAAUCAAACUCCCAUAAAAUAAUUAUCCUUUUAUCUAAAAAUAAGUGUGUUGUUAAUCUGAUGAAGCAAUACUGUUACUUUGUGUUGGCUAACUUAAUUCUAAAGAAAGGAUCUUUCUCUGUAGCUGCUGUCCUAUAAUCAAAAGGAAACAGGAAGUAAACUUUGCCUCUCAAUCAGCUGAGGGUUUGGAACUGAGAGAUUAACAUGCCAGUUGGUCAGAUUGCUUAUUUUCUCUAUUCUACCUGGUGCCAAGACAGCCACAUGAAAAUGAAAAAUCAAAAUAUUGUGUUAUUGGCUUUGCCCUGCAUAAACCAUGUGUAUAUUUGGCUCACUUUCAUUGUCUAAAUUAUUUAACUUUUGCUUACUUGUAAGAAAUGUAAUCUUAGUACUCCAGUGAAAAUUAAGCCAAGAAAAAUGAAAAGCAUUUUAGCUAUUUCAAGGUAAAAAAAAAACUUGUUUCCCCCAAAUAUUUGUCAUUUAGAAUUUAACAAAAGGAAGAGGUUUUGUAUGUAUGUAAUGUGCUUGGCUCAUCUCUCUCUGAUCUGGCCACACUUCUCAAUGUGUGCUUAUUGUAAAUUCAGACUGGCUGUGACACUUCCUGUUCAGAUAGCUCAUUUUCAUCUGAUCUCAAUUUUCCCACCCAAGGCUCAGACCACCCAUGGCAAACAAACAAAAUUACCACCAAGAGCUAAUUUUGUAAUGAAAACAAUUUGAGCAUAAAUGUGUGAAAGGCAGAAACUUCCAUGAAUCUUUUUCUUCGGAAUGAAAGUUUAGGGCCAUGAUUUAAUUCUUAAUCGAGUAAAGUUGUUUGCAUGUGUAAAAUACCGAAUAUUCUGUCCUUACUGUAGCCUUAAAUGUUGGGGGUACAGAGAAAGCUGUUUCUAUGUUGUGAUUUCUAGAUGUCAUAGAAUUUUCUAGGUUUCGGUUUUCUAGUAUUGCUUGGGUAGGGUUUUUACCUCUGUCCUGAUUGUUUGAUAUUGUAUAAAUAGGACAUGAAUGUUAAAGGGCCUUGAGAUGUAGUGACUGUAGAAGCAUGAUAGACUGUUACUGAAAAGUGUGAUUUCUGGGAGACAUUUUAGGAUUCCCAACAUGUUCUGGGCUUAUUUGGUAACAUGUAACUUAGUAUGUCCAAUUCUGCCAUCAAAAACUUUCAUUUUCUAAUAGAUUUCUUUCUGCAUGUUGGAAGCAGAAAUUACUGCCUUUAACACACAUUUUUUUAUAGGACUAAGACUUUUUAAAAUGUUUGUUUGAGUACAUUUCAAAAGCACAUCCAUGUGACUUGGAAAUUUUGAGGAAAACAUAUCAUCAUUAAAUGAAUUUAUUGGUGUUAUUUCUAGUUUCAAUGUGACCAAUAGGAAAUGGAGCGGAGUUCCAUAUGUCUGGGGACAAGAGAUCUAAUCCUAACCCAGAACACUCAUCUGGAAUGGGACAGAGCAAGUCAAGAGAUGUGUGAGUUAUGCUAGUUAUCUAGGUAUGGAGAUGUCUGGAGAAGAAAGAUUUGAUCUGAGUUCCAUGUCACCCUUGCUCUCUGGUAGACACUGAUAUUUUGAUAUUGCAUAAUUCAAGGAAGAAACACUAACUUAGAUGUCGAAAGGGUUGUGUUCAUGGGAUUGAGACAUCCAAAGGCAAGGGUGUUGUGUGGUCUACGAUUUCGGCCAGCAGCCUGUGUGGUAAAUGGCAGCCGAUCUUCAGUACCACAUUGUAAUCGACAGCCCUGUGGUGAGUGGGAAACAGAGCUUUUCCCCUUCAUCGGAUCCCGCACUCAGUCUGCUUUAGCCCAGUACUCAUAAGUGCCAUCUGUUCACAGGCUGAAAUCUGUGGAGUGAAAUCCGAAGUCACAUAGGAGACUACAAAAUACAGAUCUGUAAAGAAACCAGAGGAAGCACAGUGCAUGAAAUGAACAAAAUAAUAGCCUUGGAAAUAAAGAAAAAAACAGGAAUACAGGGCAACAGAAGGAGAACACUUCCAACGACGAGAAGCAGUGAGCUUUAAAAUAUUUCAGACAGGAAGACUUAUCUGAAUGAUUGAAAUUUAUAAGUGAGAUUUCAUAGCCCAGAGGCAUUUAAUUGUCCUAUUUGAAAGAGUGCAAGGGGUAAGGACUGGAUGCUGAGUUUCCCAGGUUGAGACAGAACUUUUGACCGCCAUUUUGAAAGUUUCUAGAACUUGUUGUCCUACUAAGCAUUUCAUUUUAGCAUUUGGACAAGUAAUAGUGCUUCUAAUGGCUGGAACAACACUGUAGACAACAUUUAAGCUUCUGUGGCCAUAAGUUCAGAUGGUAGCAUGAGCUUUCUGCGGGGUUCAGAUGUCAGCAUGAUACCACAGUUGUCCUUCCUCUGUGUUUCCAGUCCUAUGUGGGCCACUUUACAGUACAGUCUGAAUCUGAACCUAGCAUAUAUUGGUGACAACAGUGAAUAUCCCAUCCCAUGGUUAUGCAUAAAUAUUCAGUAUGUUACACAAGGAGGGAAGUAAUCAAGGCAAAUGAAGCACGUGGACACCUUGGGAGAACUCCUGUUUUGUCUCUAUAGAAGAAUGAGAGUUGUACGUGUAAUGAGUGACUACCACAGGGCACCACCUACCUUGAGAGCGUUGAAGCUCAUUUCCUCAGCUAUGAAGUGUGAGCGAAAGCAACUGCUGACAACUUCAGGUCAACCCCAAUUUGUUAUUUUUAAGGGCGUGGCUGCUUGUAGGGCCACUGUGUUUGGGUGGAUGGCCUCAUACCAGUGAAUAAGUUGGACUAGGUGGGUUGUUUAAGGCGAGGAAACAACGGAAAAGGAUACACACAAUGGGAGUAGACUUGAGAGGAGUUAGGCGGGAGACUAGAGGGUGCAUAUAAUCAAAUUAUAUCCUAGGAAUUCCUCAAGAUAGUAAUAAAAUGUAUUACAAGCCUAAAGCUAACUCAGUCGCAGUUGUGAAGGUGGACUAAAGGUGUGAAGUCUUGUUACGUCCCUGACUUAAAGUAAGGUGUCCGUAAAUAACGUAAUUACUCAUGGGGGCAUAAGCAAUUGGGUAAGAUCCCGAAGACGCCAUUGUGGAAAAAGGUGAGUUUCUCAUCGAGAAAUGAAAGUAAAUAAAAGAGACUGGGUUAUCCUAAGGACAGACUCAGUGAAAGAGUGACGGGCUCUUAGGAGGUGUUGCCAGGAAGGGCAGGAUGAGGUUGCAGUAAGAUUGCUUUCACUGGGCUUAACUCGGGCGUUAGUGCUACAAGGCAGGCAUUAUUGGUCGGGCGCGCGCUGGUACUGAGAGAGUGGGAUUUGAUGAUCUUUACGGGACCUUAACCUUUAAGUCUUGACAAACAGCUCAGGCGUUUUAAGAACCCUGGUGUGCAAAUAUUCCCCGAAUAACUGGAAAAUACAGUCUGUUUCCAAGUUUUAUGGACAUUUCGUGUUGCUUAAAGAGGUAAUUAAAGAUGGGAUUUGAGUGAGAAGAAUGUAUUUCCUCCUCCUCAUUAAAGGACUUAGAGUUCCUGAUUUAACUUCUCUGGCAUUUUGCUUUUUGAUAUUUUCUAGCGUUACUUUCCCCUUGGUUUUCUCCAAAAUGAACUAAGGACUCAAAAACCUUAAUUCUGUUGCUGGUGUCACUAAUGAAUAAUUCAGUAUGUUGGUUUAGAACGGCACUAAAGCUUUCUUAGUUUUCAAAAUAAAAUCAGAAAACUUAUCAUUGGAAGACCUUGAUCCUGUGCUCCUCAACCUGACACAUUCUGCAAAGGCAUGCAAUGAUAAUUUAUUUCUAUCAUCACUGGAGCUGAGGGAAAAGCCACAACAACUACAUUUUUCUUGAAGGCAAAUCACACACAAGAUUGCAGGUCAAGGGAAUGAAAAGGGGUGGGGGUGUGGAUCUUGCAAAAGCUGAGCUUCCCACCCCCUCCCACGGUCUCUGGGAGGUGACUUUAGUGGCUCCUAACUGAUUCUGUCACUGUGAAAUCCUACAGUCAUUCUUCCACACAUAAAGGACAAAUAGGCAGGAGAGGAGGAUCUAGAUGCUUUCAGUUUUAACUCUUCACCAAUAGUAGAAAAGGCAGAAUGCCUAAGCUAUGGUUCUGUGGCCAAUAGGAUGGCUGCGUGUCUCUCACAUGACUGCCUGUCCCUGCCUUUCGCAUGGGCUCUAAUUUAGUUCAAUUCAGAACUGCAGAUAGUACGGUGGAGCAGGGAUCCCUGAGCACAAGUGGCCGAGUUCCGAGGGACUUUAGGAAAUGCUUCUCCUCCCUUCCUGGGCAUGCAAACAAGAUUCUGCACCUGCACCGCAGUUUGUCCGAGACAGAAGCCUCUGCCUCGCCUCGCCUCGCCCGCAGGGACAAGGAACUAGAGCAAGAAGCAGCAUUUGAAAAUUGCUCUGGAUUCAAGGACCAACACAUCUCAUGAAGGAGAAAGAAGGCAGCUCCAUCGACAUGUUCAAAGGCCAUCCAGUAGGAACCACAGCCAUGUGCAUGUCCCUGAGGAACUUAAAGAGGUUGGUUUUCUGCACCCUAAAAUUAGGCUGUGAUGAAUGUACAUCCUUUCUCUGAGCUCCCUGGAAACACUAUGGUCUCUGCUGGUCAGACUUUCCUCUCUCAAUGUCUCCACAUAGAUACACUCCAACAUUUCUCUCUCUCUCUCUCUCUCUCUCUCUCUCUCUCUCUCUCUCUCUCUCUCUCUUCCUCUUUUUCUUCUCUCCCUUUUUCCUCCCCCUUUUUCUUGCUCUCCUUAGCAGAUGUCUUUUAUAAUUUAUGUUGUUUGCUAUCCUUUCAUUAGAGCUAAGCUGCUUCUUAGGCGAUCGGGCAGCCAGAGCACCUAAGUACACACUAGAGGAGAGUGAUACUCAGGAGCCGCUCGCAGUCUCAUUGGGGCACUUCUAAUAAGCAUCUUGGUGCCACUGAAUGCAAAGCUGCAUUCAAAUAACAGCUUUCAUCUUCGGUCUUUGUAAAUAUAAAAGUAACCCUUGAAACCCUUUGAAGGACCCAACCAAACAUCAUGCACAAAAAAAAAAAUCAGCAAGGCUUUGAAAGACAUGUUUGUGUAAAGUCAUCACACUGCCUUUAUCAAGCAAGUAAAUGAUGGCUUUUAAUAAGACACAUGACAUUCUCAAUUAUGAGGGUCAUGAUUAUGUGUCCUCCAUGAUGUUUUGUGUUCCCACCAGGGUGUUUUUCUUUUCCUCUGUUUUUUUAUUUCUCACAUCAAAAAAUUUCAAGACUCUCUACAGUUCUCUGUGUAGAAAACGUAUCCAGAAAGCUACAGUUGUUUUUGUUUUGUUUUGCAGUGUUUGUUUGUUUUUUAGUGAAACCACCCCUGACACCCUGAACCAAAAGAGCAAAAUAAAAAAAAUCUUUGUUAAAAGGACAGACAUACUGGAACUAGAGGGUUAUAGGUGAGAGGAAUAAAGUGGAGGAUUGAAGGCUAUAAUUUCUCCUUCUGUGGUGGUAGCAAAAUCAGGAGAUGGAUGAAGUCAGGUGACUGCAGACAUGGCUGCUGGAAUCAGAGCCAGGAGGAGUAGACGGCCAGAGCCUGGUAAGAAGAACCCCACUCGUCAGGAUGUGCUGUGUGGCAUGGUGUGGAGUCCUCACUGAAUCCCUUCCCCACUCAGUGACCGUGUCCUAAUACCUGCCCACUUGUAUCCUAGAUUUAACAGUUCUAUGUUUGGUUUUCCUUCCUUCUGUUUCCUUACUUUAAAGCAAAAGAAAAGAAAGGCCCCUGACCUCUAUUCCCUGCUCAAAGAAGACACUGCAUCGAAAAGAACCCUUAGUGGACCAGAGGCACGUGCGCUGCAUGUGCACUUACAGUCCUCGGUUUAUAAUGUAGCCUUAUCCUUAUUUUCAUAAAAUUAAAUAGAAUUCUAGAAAUGAUAGUAAGCACAGAAACUGUACGCUGUGACUCAUAUUGAGUGGAAAGCAGGAAAUCCUAAAACUGUCUCCUAAGUCAUCGGACUAGCUAGAAAAAAAUGCUUAAUUACAGGUUUGUACACUCAGAGAGGAUGCUGAAGAAAUGUUUGAGGAGAAAGGCCCUUAUCAAAAUACACACACAGCAAACUGGAAUUGCCAUCUAACCUAGACAAGAGUAUGUGUUUAAAUUGCCUGAGGAUAUUGUUCACACAGCAAACUGAUGUCAAUCUUAUAUCUUCUGACGUCUGUAUACAUAUGCCGCUCAGCAGAAUUCUGCUGAGAAUUGAAUGUUUUCUUCUGGACACAUCUGCAGCUUCUGUUUGGCUUUGGCUUUUUUUUUCUGUUCUGAAGGUGUUUGCUCACUUCCCUGUAGUUUUGAUUUGCUCCUGAGGAUGCCCAGAAGAAAAGAAGGUAAGGACUUGCAUAAGUUGUGUUAGGCCUUAGGGAAUUCUUUCCUCGUUUUCAGUAUUGUGGUUUGGUUUGGUUUGGUUUCUUUGACUGGGUGAGAUGAAAGUCUUGUUUUCUCAUUUAUAAAUAGCCCCACGAGAACUGGUAGCUGUGUGAGCACAGAGAAGCAUGACAGACAACUGAUACAUCGGAUCUUUAGAAGUACUGUCAGUACUCUGUAGGAAAUACAGCUUACUCUGGAAAACACAAUUGACACAACUGUUUAAAAGAAACAAAGAUAUUAAACACACCAAUAAAUAACUGUACAUUAAAGUUGUAACAUUCUUUUUGUUGUUGAUUUUUGAGAUAACAGUACAGACUAGCCUCAAACUCACAGUCAUCCUCCUGCCUCUGUCUUCAGUGCUAAGUUUACAGAAAUUAGUCGACACACGACAUAAAACUUUAAUUCUACCCCUUAACCAAUUAUUGAGUUUUCCUAGGAAAAUAGAUUUCUUUAAAACCAUUUUGCUAAUAUUUGAAUCAGCACACAAAAUUGUAUAGUUUUUAAAAAUUUGGUAUGUAGGAUGCCUUAAUUCCUUAAAGUUUGCCACACCUCCCCUGGUUAGGAAUGCAAGCUUGGGAUGUUUUGAAGAAAUCAGGGUGUUUCUCUUCUACAGAUGGUUUGAUUGAAAUGUUUUAAGGAUAGGUGUCUCUUCAGUCAAACCUAAACAUUUUGAUGAAAUGUUUGAGUGGUUCUCAGUCUCCACCUACAAAUGCCAUUUGCUGUUUAUGUGGGACGAACGUCUUGCAAACUAAGGUCGUGCCUAAAUAAAACAGAAAUUCUAUAACCAUCUGCUUUAAAAGAGAUUAAACCAGAAUUUUGCCAGUUACAUUUCCCCAGCGUUAAUUUUAUGUAAUAAAAUUAUAGUAUAUUGUGCAUAGCAUCUUUAGUUAUGAUGCUCUAGGAAUGCCUAUGGGUGGUGUCGAAUUAUACACACGAGCAUGUAUUCCAACUCUAUUGGGAGUUUUUAAAGGUGCAUUGAGAGGUGUCAGUGGAUCAUAAUCCAUUUCAUUCAGAAACUGGGCUGCAUACUUUAGCUUCUACUUCUGGUUUGAGGAAAUGAAGGGAGGUAAAAUAUGAAGUCUUAUCAAGAACAGUGUUAGGGGCUGGAGAGAUGGCUCAGUGGUUAGGAGCACCGACUGCUCUUCUAGAGGUCCUGAGUUCAAAUCCCAGCAACCACCUGGUGGCUCAAGAACACUGUUUACUCCACUGUCAAAAUGAGCAGUGCAAUCUUACACAGCAGCUUGCUUUUCCCAAGAAGGCGACUAGCCAAGCUUAACCCUCACACUGGGGUAGGAGAUAUUUAACUCAGAAUCUCAGUACAAAGAGAAGCCUUCAGUUCAGAUGUCCUGCUGAUCCAAACCAAGUAGCUAUGUUUUCUGCACCGGGGUGAAAACUCUUCGCAGGCCUUGGAAAUUAGAGUGGAGCUUUGGGUAGAGAGGAAUUUCACUUGUCUCGUGGAACCGUACCACUGUGAUGGAAGGCUCUCAUUUCCCACGUGGGUAACAUGAAUUAUAGCAACGAUGGCCAAUUUAUAUCGAGGGAAAAGUCUGUUAUUUUUCUCUAGGUCAGGGUCACUCAUCCUGACCUCUGCUGAUAUUUUAAUCUAUAUAAUUCUUUUCAUGGGGAGAUCUCACAGUCUUGGCUUCUGCCUGCUGUGCGACAGUUCCUCCCUCCCUAACAACUCAUAUUCAUACACAACCAAAGGUCCUUCAGAGACUGCCAGCUACCUGCGAAAUAUAUUUGGUAUCUUCUUUGAUCUACACAUACAAUUAGUUAUAUUAGACCUUCACACUCACUUCAAUAGAAUUUUUGUGUGUGUGCAGCAGUUUUCUGAACAGAGCAGACAGCUUUGAUGCAAAUGCUCCUGCCAAUCCGUAUCUUAUCGGUGUGUGUAAAACUGUAAUUCCGGCUGUGUGCCCCUCACCUGCAUCACUCACGUGAUUAACGUAAUAAUAUUAAGAGUCAUCGAAUGUGGGCUAAUACUGCUUUAUUUAAAACCAUUCAAAGUGCCCAGCUAUGCUGAUAUAAAAUAGUUGCCUUCAUUUGGAUGUGAAACACUCUUCUUAGGCGUUAUCAUUAGAUAUAAUAAUAUGUUUUUAGAACCUAGUUUUGACAGUGUUGAAGAAAGCAGGGCGAUUUGGAUGACUUCAUGGGAAACAGCAUAUAAAAGUGGUAUUAAUUGUGCUUUGUCAUCGGUUUGGAAUUUCUCCAACUACUAGUUUCCUUGAGAAGGCACGUAAAAUAUUGAACGCUGAAGAAAAUUCGAAGCAAACAUGUAUGACCAACAGGGAAGUAGGUUGAUAAUUAUGGUCCUUUCCAGGCAGGAAGAGACACCUUGCUUUUGAGUAUGUGUUCAUGUGUUUGUUGGCUGGUAGUGAUUUUGAUUGGAAGGAAAAACAUAAAAUUCUCAUAGUCACAUAGAAAGCAAGAAGAUGAGUCAUCAAAAGGAAAAUGUUCUGGGUACAACUUGAGAUGACGAAAGGGAAAAUACAUGCCAUGGCCUUAACUUGCUCUUUUUAAAACUGUUAAUGUGAUUAAGAUAGUAAGUAUAUUGUAGUUUGAACUCAUUACCAAAAGUGAAUAAUCUGGGUCUGUUAACUGAGGAAGACUAAUUUCCUGAAUAAAUCGAUAAUUUCCCUUUGAGUGAACGUGCACGUGUGUUUGCACAUAGGCUUGAGUUUACAUGUGGGUGGGUCAUGUGGCCUCCCCAUUGCAUACCUGUGGGACAAAGCUGAUUUUCCUCCUUAUUCAUUUUAGUUUUUUUCCAAUUUUUCAAAAGUUUCCGUGGUUCUCUGCUUCAUGACUUCUACCACGUGAUACAGAGGCAGUAAAGUUUAAACAUGCCUUGUUUACGUUAUUAUGUGUUUACAGUUUCAGAUUUUAAUAAGUCAUCCAGAGCCACAUACUGUGGUAUGGUGAGAGAACAGGCUUUCCUCCGAGGGCCUUAGUUGUAUGCUAAUGCAGGACCUGGGCUAAACUCCAUUCAGGGGUAACUUGUAGCAUCACAGAACAUACAGCUGUAUAUCGGUAGUGUCAAGAGUUAGACAUAAAAGCCAGAAGACUUUAGGGCUCCAGUUUGUAGUAACUACAUCAAACCAUGGUCUUACGUUUCUAGCUCAUUGUUUUUCUUUAUGAGGAGGUUAUAAUGAGUGUGCUUUGUUUGAUAUGUCACAUAAUUUUUAAAAUUAUGGUGGAGUCUUUCCCUGGUCAUAAAUAACAGGAUCUGAAAUAAAAGGGAUGAAUAGAUAGGAGAACUUAUUGCUAGUAGAUGUUUCAUGUGAUAAAAUAAACUUUUAUAGUGAACGAGUUCACAUCAAAGAGAGAUUACAACUUGGUUUAAUGGUGAACUGGGAAAUAGAUUUUCAGCAACUUUGUGGCUAAAGGCAUUUCUAAUGAUCACAGUCUGUUCUACACUAGAGUUUUACAAAACGUUGGCUGCACCAGGACUACUCAAAGGGUUGUGAAAAUAUAGAUUUCUCAGCUUUGGGCCAGAGUCUGCUUCAAGUGAAUUUUGACAACCUUGUAUGUAUGACCAGUUGUCCGGUGGUUUGUGUCAGCUCCUGCAGGUAUGACCAAUUGUCCAGUGGCGUCAGAUGGCCACUGUCGUAGAGCUUUACUGACCCUCAGGAACCAACUCUCAGUUGGAGCUAAGAACUUUCUCUUUGAUAGAAAUGACAACUAGUACAGGUUAAAUAAAUAAGUUCGUAAGUUGGGAAUACUCAUUUGUAAUAGACUGACAGCUUUAUCAGAGGAAUGGAUGGAUUGUGAAUGAAGUUGUUUCCAACAAAUUCCUUCACAAGAUAUUAAAGACAGGAAAUACAAAUAUCAGCCAGCUUAAUUUUAAAAGUAUAUAAUAUAUAGUAACACAAAACAAAAAUACCUCCUAUCAUCAAUGUUUUAUUCAUCUUUUCUUGAUUAUCUCUGUUCUACCUGCUCUCAAGGAAUUAACAACUCUGGUUUUUCAUAGUUCAGCCACACCCAAUUAUCCAGUAUCUCUUAGCCUUCUAUGGUUUUUUAUCACUUACAUGUACUACAGGUAUCUACUAACUCAGCACGGUUACUUAAAAUCCAUUAAGACUUGAAUAAAUUGAAUUAAAUGCUAAUCCACGGGAUAGAGUGCAUUUCAUAAGUUAGACAGAACUGCAAAGCAUAUCUCGACGGAUAUUCAGGGCUACCCUCCAUGGUGGUGGAGACCACACACCUGAAGCACAUGCUGUAGCUAAUCAUGUGGAUGAGACUGUGGGAAUUGUGGCCAUUAAACAUGGAAUACAGGGUGUUGAGUGCUGGCUUCUCUCUUGUACGUUUAGCUACCUGAGUAGCCCCUGAGUCAGAUGUCAGACGACUCAUCCUAAACCAGGGGUCAGCUUCUCAUCUUCACUCCCAUUUUGACACCAUGACAGAAGCACAAGUAAGAAUGGCUUGCUGGGUGACCGUUUAGUUGAAGAUUAUCCUUUACCACAGCCAGUCAGCUGUCACCAUGCAGCUUUCUACAUAAGGCUUGGUGUUUUAUAAGAAGUUGAAGACAGUAGAAAUGAAAAUGAUAUGAAGUCCUUCUCUUCAUGCUCGGGAGAAUGAAUCCAAAAUUGAAUUAUAGAACUCACCAUAAACCAGGGCACCAACUCUUCUGCUUAUCUGGCAGAAACAGUGAAAUCAUUUAACCAAAUUAACAACACAAACCUUUGCAAACAAGACACCGUCAAUUGAAUUAAUAUCUAAUUUGUCAAUAAAUAUUUGUUACAGUUGACAAUAAAUUCUGACACACCAAUGCAUGUGUGCUUUAAGAUUACACAUAGAAUUAUGACUCUUGAGUGUACCUGUGGAGUGAAAGCUUGCUGAGAUCUGGAAUCUGGUAGUUGUUCCGACUACAGAGCAAGAGAAGAUGGAAAUAAUUGUUUCUGGUGGAAAACUGGAAAGCCAUCAUCCUUUCCCCCCUAUUCCAUUAGUGCUACUUGCAGAACCUUGAGUAGAGGUACUGAUUCAUUAGUGAGUAAAUAUUUUUAUAUCCCCAAAUGCAGUGGAUAAACACUCCAUUAGAACACUAAUAAUUAAACUUCACAUUUUUAUUUCCUGGCUUUAUAAACCAUUGUUUUCCAAUACCUUGCCAACAGUAUCCAAAUUUGGGAGUUAGGGUUAGAAGUUGUCUUCUGGGGGUUGGGGAUUUAGCUCAGCGGUAGAGCGCUUGCCUAGCAAGCGCAAGGCCCUGGGUUCGGUCCCCAGCUCCGAAAAAAAGAAAAAAAAAAGAAGUUGUCUUCUGUUUAGAAUGACUAAAAUGGCUAUAAUUAGAACAAUGUAGGUCUGUCUCCCCUGUCCUUUCUGUUUUCUAUGUAGUUUACCAAUCUUAGCUUUCCUUUUUUACAGAGGCAAAAGUAUAGAUCUCUUUGACACAGGACUUGUAGGUCAUCAUGUGCCUCUCCAAAGCAUUGUUGAUCCUGGAUUCAGGGUUCUGAAUGGUGGGGAGGAGCAAACUGUGAUGACAAAAUUGUAUCCUUUUCUUCCUGCAAUUACUUCAGCGUCCAUAUAGCCUUGACAUCUGGAAGCCCCCAGCUACUGUCGCAGCUGUGAUUCCUGCACCAUUGCAGGAAGUUAAGCACAUGUUGCAAAGAACACUCAUUGUUUUGGUAUUUUCUGGGAACUCAAAAUCCAGGCUAUUAGAGAGCAUACACUUGGUUCCAUGGACAUAUUGGAAUCAUGUACUCAUGUGAACCGCACCAUAAUAUGAACCACUUACUUACAGAUGGUGUAGGCUGUGUUUUCUUAGCAACACACACACACACACACACACACACACACACACACACACACACACACGCACACCACAUAUCAUGGCUACAUCCUGAAUUUGGCCAUUUUUAGAUAUACACUGGUCUUCAUUGUUCUUGUCUUUGAUUUGGAGACAUCUGCCAACGUUUUCUCCAAUGAUCAAGGUGAGAGGGACAUGUGCCUCAAGACACAGUCCUAUUUAAACUGUGGGAAGAGAAUUAAGUUAGACAGUAAAUGGGAGAAUUUUACCACUCUGUCUUUGUUCAUAUAGAACUUCAGGUAACAAGCAAAUGAACUCUAAAACACUUAGGAAUCAGUUCAAAAAAUCUUCAGUUUCCCAAAUGAAAUACAGAGUCACCGAGUGUUGGUAAAAUCCAGCUGACUUUUGGCAUCAGAUCAGUGUAGGGAAUGGUUUUGUGAUUUGAAGCUGAUGAACACUUAUGGCUGUUUACAUGGCAUGCUUUGAUUCUUUUAAAAUGAUCAAAAGGAGUGGGCGCUACAUGGGCUAGCUAUUAACUUAUCUUCAAAAAAAACAUAAUGACUAUCCUCAGCUUAAGAGCAUUAGUAGGUUUUGUUCACAAAAUUAAGAGGGAGAUGGAUUUUAUUAAUGCUCCAUAAUCAUUUUGUUAAUCAAAAUGAUUGCCAGCAAUCUUCUAGAAACUAAACUGCUCCAGAAGAGAUUGAGUAUUGCUGUCGCUCACAGUGCCACUUGGCAAAAAUAUAAUUGCAUAUGAUUUUUAUUUAGUUUACUGAUUGUAUUUUUAUUUCUGUUUAUUCAUCUUGCUUUCAUUUACUCCAAAACAUUAAAAUAGUCUCCGUAGCAUAUUAUUCACCCUAACUUGCUACUUAAUUCAAUAUUUCCCUUUGCCUGAUUAUUUUUAAUUUUGCACUCAUAAUGAUUAAUGAUCUCUUAUAAUUCAACAGUUUAUUUCAGAUGAUUAAAGUAGGCUUGUCUCAUUCAUGCGAUGGCUUCAAAAUCUAUCCUCUUUUGGUUAGAAUUUUUGACAGUGUAUUUACAAUAUGUUCAUAAGACAUUAAUUUUAUAUAUGUUCGAACAGUGUGUUUAGCUUUAGAGGAUUGCUCUUCUGAUAACCAGAAUUUAUUGGACAUUAUUCUAAUAUUUGAAUAUGAUGUUUCAUACUGAAGACUUAACUUUAAAACAAAUCUUUGUUUGAAUAGUGGCUGGUUUUUCUACCUCUGUUGCCUUCCAAAACCUUGCCAGGGCUCAUCUUUCUGAGUAGCAAUUACGAAGCCCAGAAAGAUGUUUAGAUGAAUUUUUUAAAACCCAAUUUAAAAUUGCACAGAAUGCACAAUACAUCUUGUCCAGUUGCCUGGUUGCCUUUCUCCGUCUGCAUUUUUGUUCUCUUAGUGACAAUUCACUUUUCAUUGCCCCACGGUGAGCAAGAGCAAGUUUUGUAUUGGUUUGAGCAAUUCGUGAGCAUUCAGACACAGGUGAAGUAUUUUCAGAAUCAAUACAGCAGAAUUGUGUUUGGGAUGGUCUGUUCACACACCAUUGAUGCUUUGUAACACAUUGGAGAAAACACUCCUUUUUACUGCUACUUAAACAAGAGGGCAUGGAGCAUUCCAUUUGCAGAGAAGUUCCAUCCAUCUGCUCAUGGGCAAAGGGGAAGGCAAAGAGCUGCAGUUGGGGAGACCAUACCCUAGUCUUUCCUGAGAGGAGAUUCAGCUCGCUUUAAAGAUUCCUCAACAGAAAGGACCCCCACCCCAACCCCAUUUAUCUGGCUUACAGACCACUUGCAAUCGCUUAGGGCAGGUUAAUGAUGUCAUUUAGCAGCUGCAGUCUUGACGUAGAUUGUUUCCUUAUUGAAGAGCACUGUGCAAGCCUGAUUUUGAAUUGUUUCUGUUGGACAUCUAUGUGUCAGAACUUAAGCUUUUCUCCGUAUUUUUUUUCUUCGGCUUUUCUCACACCUCAGAAAUCACUUUUAACUUUCCAAAGACAUCUCAGUUCUGCAGCUCAUUGCUAGAAUCUUUGAUGUCAUGACAUAAAAUGUCACAAGGUGAAAAUAAAAAUGAUUUGUGCACAGGACAUUGUAUCUUCAGAGUGUUUAAGCCAGCCUUAGUAAAGGUCAUUAUCAAGAUUAUCCCAUGUGACAAAUUUGGUUGAUAGAUUUUAUUUUGUACCGUGCAUGGGUUUGAAACCGGGUCCUCACACAUACCAGGCAAGCCUGCUACCACUGAGUCACAUCCCCAGACUGGAGCUAGCAUCAUUUUUGUCAUUACAUAGACUGCCUUUAGUUUCUGAGAAGUUCUUCCCUACAAAAGAAACUAAAAAUGAUUGUUGACGAUGAGAAUAGACAUGCUUCAUCUUGGUAAAAAAUAUUUCUAACCCCCUAUUUUUUUUUAAUAAAAAAUAGUCACCAUACAAAUGUAUGAGACCUAAAAUAUACUAAGAUUUGAAAACUAUCACCAAUGUAUUUAUCACAUGAAAUACAUGAUUUGGGGACAGAUUUUAUAGUGUCACAUCUAAUGGACCAUAAGAAGAUAACUGAAAGGAAAAUGGCUUUUCUUUUGUCUGGUUUUCUAUGGACACAUACUGAAUCUGCUAGGAAAACCUUCCGAAUCAUUUUUCUCCCUAGAGAAAUUACUAGACAUUUUUAAAAUCAUAAUUUAAUACAAAAAAUGUGAACAUACCACUAAUCUGUCUGUGACUUAGAAUCUUGACACGGGCUGCCUGUCAUUUGUUAUGGUGUGGUGAAUAGUUUACUUCAACCUCUUAGCCCUUGAGCUUCCUUAGAGGCACAAACAGUGUCGGUGCUCUCUGCUUAGCCUUGUGAGCAAAAUAUAUCGCCAUUGAUCCCGAAGAAAAAUUACAGAGAAGAGCAGUGAACUACAAAGUCCCUACUUCCUAACACAGAAAGAUGUAAAUGGUCUGCAUCAAGUCCUGGAGUUAGAGUGUAGGCUCUUCCUACCAGAUGUGGAUAUUUUGGGCACAUUUUUUUCAGCACUACACAAUCAGAAUCCAGCCCAAAAUAAGGAUGGGAGAAUACGAAACCCUCCUCCAUGUAACGUGUGUUGCUUUUUAUGUGGUGUUAACAAGGUGACUCUGAUGGAAAAUGUAGUCUGUCUUAGUUUAAGACGGAAGGCACAAAAAAGAUGUUUUCCUUCUGGACAGCAGACUUCAGCACUGAGGGAUCAGAGGAACAACUUGAUCGGCACUGUGAGUGCAGACCUAAAGAUUUCACAGCAUUCCUGCCUCCUUGCUAGGCCUUAUGUCUCUUUAAUGGCAUUUAGAUUAUCCUCCUCUGCAGCCACACAGUCAAAACACCAUGUCAUUUUGGAUACCAAAUUGCAAUCAGUCAGGAUGUCGCCAUUAAAGAAUCCAUAUAUGCUGUCUCUUGUUUUCAAUCUUUUGAUAGAAAAGGUAAGAGUACUAUCUUCUAAACUUGGUCUAUAGUUGAAUGAUUCAAAAUGGACAGAGGACAUGCUUUUAUUUAUAGACGUCCCUUCCUUUGUGUAAUGUAUUCCUCUCACAAUUUUAUUUUAACAUUGCCAUCUAUUUACUGUAUCACAUACAUGAUAUGCUUACACAUGAUAUACGGAAAUUAAAAGUAUAUAUUCAAUUAUAGGAAUUUUCUUUUCUCCCAAUGUGAGAUAUUUGAUAUAGAGCAUACUUAUACUAGAAUAGGUAUUAAAUAUAAAGAAAAGGCACCACACUCUGAAUUCUGGAAUGGCAUUCAGUACAGAUGGCGUGUUUCAAAUGUCAUACAAGAAACGAGUUUUAAUUGGAAUAUGUGCUUUUAAAAUAAUGUUUAUUAUAGUGACUUCACACUAAAACCCUUCUGAAAAAAUUAGCAUCUCACUCAGUAUUCCUAAAGAUACACAGGAAAGAUGUUAUGCUUUCUAUAAAACACAAUAUAUCCACCCCAUUUGAUGGUUUAUAUAGUAACACAUGUAGCUAUCCAUCUGUAUCAUCCGUGAGCAAAGAAUAGAGCUGACUUCCAGGACCACAGGGCACCCAUAAUUGGGUGGAGAACUUUGGCUUCACUCUUCCUCGUGUAGCAUAGUAUGGAUUUCAUGCAUUUGCAAGAGGAGGUUUAGGUCACAGACAAAGUAAUAAGGUCACAAUAUGCUAGCUCAUUUUAAAACCAAGGUGGAAAAUAAGUGACUUUAAUACUUUCAUGGGAGUGUUUUUGGGGGGGGGGGGGGUUGUUAUUGUUUUGUUUUGUUUUCUGAAGCUCUCUUAAGUAAGCUUCACCUGAGAAGAGAAUAUUUAUUACCAAAAUGUCUCAGUUUUGGAAAAAGUCAUUUACUACACGUAAGUGAAUUCCUAAAUUUCUGAAUGUUCUGAGUUCUGAGCAACUUAUAUUUAUACUCUCUCUCUCUCUCUCUCUCUCUCUCUCUCUCUCUCUCUCUCUGUGUGUGUGUGUGUGUGUGUGUGUGUGUAGAAAAUUACAUUUUAAGCUAUAAGAACCAUGGAAAUAAAAAAGAGUUCUCAAACUGGAAAAGUCUAAAAUCUUACAGCAUUACUUCACCUCCCUAAGAAACCAGGUAAGGAAUGACAGGUGUAUUUACUGAGAAGGGAGGUGAUUCAAUAUUUUCUUUUAUUGAAUUGGGUUAAAUAGGCCCACAUUGAAUUAAUCUUUGGCAAAAACAUCAUGACAAGUAUUUUACUGACAGACUUUUUUUUAGCCAAAUAGAGCCACAUAAUAUAAUGUUUUAAUUAAAAUACAAUUUUCUUUUGUUAGAAGCAAUGGAAAAGAAGGAAUAGCCAUAUCCGGAGGUGAAAUCAUAGAGAGGAAGUUCUGCACGUGUGUGGGGAACAGUCAGCUUUAGACUAGGACUCUCCUCCCCUCACUCCUAGGAUUCAGGCUAGAUACUGGAAGCCCAUUCCUUGAAUAUAUACAUAUGAAAGAGAGAGAGAGAGAGAGAGAGAGAGGAAUGAUAUAUACAUAUAUAUUCAUUGAUAUAUAAAUACAACCUCUAGUCUUUAAAAUGGUACUUGUCUCUUGUUGGUUUAAUUAAACCUCUUACAUUGUUUUGUUCUGUGUCAUGGUAUUAGCAUGAAACUCUCCUGGCCUAGAACUCAUUAUGUAAACCUGAACUCACAGAGAACUGCCUGCCUCAGCUUCCUCAGUAUCGGAAUUAAAGCAAUAGGCUAUUUUACAUGGAGGAUUGGAGGAUUGGUGUGCAUAUGGGAAGAGUAAAACCUUUAGAACAGUGUAAUAUGAAACUCAGCAAGGAUUUCUUUACAAAUCUAAAAGAAUGAAAUAUAUUUGUGCACACGAAUACAUAUUAGUAGCUACUUGAGUCAUUUCACAAAGCCUUACUAAGUCAUUUAUUUUAUCCAAAUUCACUUUUCAUUAUAUGAGGUCAACACUAGUAGAAUUUGCACUUAAUAUAAAAAGUGCAUUUUAAUGCUACGAAGCACUCAUUUAAAGAACAGCUCAAAUUCCCAUCCAGCUCUAGGCCGUUACGACCAUUACACCAUAUGCCAAGCGCAGCGCCACAUCAGUUGUCACUGCACUCUCUGUAUUUAUGGAACUGAUUCCUUUCUUACAUCCUGUGAACAAGUGUAGAGUCAUUUGAUUAGCUUGUUCCAAUUAUCACAAGGCCAUCGUAUCAAUUCACUUGGAAGAAGGAGAGCCUUCCUUUAAUUGGCUCAUCCCAAUUAUCACAAGGCCUUAGAUUUCUUUCAUUUUCAUUUGGAGGAAGAAUAUCCUUUCAUUCAUUCAUAUAUAAAUAUAUGAAUACUAAUAUAUAUAUGAAUACUAAUAUAUAUGAAUACUAAAAUAUAUAUGAAUAUACACACACACACACACACACACACACACACACACACACACACACACACUAACUCUUGGCCUGUCGUGAUUAAUGAUAUUAAGGAACAAACAGUAACAAGAACAACAAGAACAACAAACCAUAAAAUAGUUGUUGAAUCUUAUUUUCAAUGCUUUUUGGCUAUGAAGAUUCUUUUGUAAACUUGCGUAAGUCAGUAUAGGGCACCUGUGGUCUUGUCAGUAAGAGGGUAUCAGCAUCUGUGAUCUUGACAAUAUGAGCUCUUUUUAUCUUGUGAUUUUGUCCUUAUAAGCACCUGUGCUUUUGUCCUUAUGAGCACCUGUGAUGUUUGUCAGUAUGAGCACUUGUGAUCUUGGGUGUUAAGUUUUUGGGUUUUAUUAAUUCUUUCCUUGGAUCGACAGAAAGCAGGACCCUGAUAAUUGUUUGUUACAUUUUUAAAUUUUAAAAUAUUUUCUGACAUGAAUGUUUCUAUUUUUCUAAUGACUAAAACUUGAGUGUUGAUGUAAUAUUCAUUCUGCUCUUCUUAACUUCAAUCUUGUAAAACGGGAUUCUCCCUAAUAACACGAUCUUGUACAUUUUAUAGAGGCAAUUCUUGUUUCUUCUUCAAAUGACGGGCUGCAUUUGUAUGAAAUAGCCAUCAUUAAAAGUAUCGUAUAUUUUAAGAUAUUUACUGUAGUUUAUAAGUUAGUAAAUACUGGAUAGGUAAGUCUAUAGAUGUAUAUACAGGCCAACCAUUAAGGAGCCUCAUUUGACCUUUCUUACUCAUCUUAGCCAAAAAAAAAAGUGCGAUUUUAAAAAGAUAAGUGUCAUCCAUUAUUAAGGGGCAAAGACAGAGUGCCAACUCUGAGUGAGUUCUUGUAAAAACACUGCAGUAGAUCACAGUGCAGAUGGAAUCUUGUUUGGGAAUCUCAAAGUUAAUAAUUCAUUUGGAGUGUUGGUUUUUAUGUUCCCCUUACCCUAUCAUCCAUAUGACGUAAGCCACCACUGGUUUUACUGAUGUUAAUUUACUAUGACAUUUUAAAAUAUAGGUCAAAGUCAUGUAAACAGAAUGGCACUUAAACAGAUUAUGUCAAACGUGUAACAUGCUGUAUAUUACAUUUGUCUCGUUUUGUUUGUGUUGUUUUCAUUAUGGUGCUCAGGUUGACUUUGAACUCUCAAUCCUCUUGCCUCAGUAUCAUAGUGCUUGUAUUACAGAACAGCGCCAUGCCUACCUCUUCAGCACAAUCCAUUUCUUGUUUCUUUGUUUGUUUAUUUGUCUUAGGACAUGAGACCCCGUAUUCCAGGCUGUCCUAGAACUCACCAUGUCACUGAUUCUCCAGCUUCCACUUCCCAAGUUCUAGGAUUGUAGGUAUGCACCACCAUUCCUACAAUUCUUCGAUCAGGAGAGUAAGCCUCCUGUAUUAUAUUUGUCAGGUUCAAGAGCAAAAUAUUUAAACCUUAGUCUCAUCGCCUUUAAAAAGAUCUGUAGAAAGACAUUUCUUUAAGUAUGGGUGGACAGAUCACGAACACAUUUGGAGAAUGAAAACAUUUCCCCUACUACACCACACUUGAGGAUCUAGUUACCUGUUCAUAAAGAAGUACAGUCAUUAUUACCAAGACCAUUUUCCAUUCAACUGCUAUUGAAUUUCUCGGAAUAGAAAUGCUGUUCAUGCUUGUACACACAGAGCCAAAACCAGAUUCAGCUCCUUCCCCAUUGGAUUAAUCCAGUUCCAAGUCAAAGCACUAGACUACCAUUUUUCACUCACAAAUGCAAAUGAACAGGUACAAUGGUAAUGACUUGCCUUUUUCUUUGUGUGACAUAGAAAGUUCCAACCCUAGUCAUUCCAUCGACAUAUCUUCUACACAGAAGACAGGACAGGCAGUGAAGGCAUUAAAUAAUGCAAUUAAUAACAAAUAAUUUAUGUGAUGCAUAAUUCAUAAUAUAUUCAUGAAGAACAUAACAAAACUUCUAGAUCACUACUUUCCAAGAGGCUUAUUAAGGAAAUAGAUGUUAUAGCUACUUCGCCCCUUAUGCUAUGCCCUGUAUGACAAGUGUUCUUGUUACACGUACAACCACAGGACUCCACCAGAGACCUUCACAGGGGAAUCCUAGGCUCUGAUCAGCACUCCCUGAAACUCCCACAGUCUCUAUCUGAGGAGGAGACUUAGUCAGCUUUCAUCUUCGUUUAAUGUCAAUUCCUCCAAAUUUCUGAGUUUGCUCAUUUGUUUUUCCAGAACUAAUGGUUUCUCAGACCUUAAUUUGAAAAAGCCAGCCACUGCCCAAUUAUUUGAUCAUUUGUUCAAGUGAAAAUACUCCUCUAAAUUCCGUUUGUUUUAAGCUUUUGAAG